GUGGAGCAUGUGGUUUAAUUCGAAGCAACGCGAAGAACCUUACCAAGUCUUGACAUCCCGGUGACCGUUCCGUAAUGGGAACCUUUCUUCGGAACACCGGUGACAGGUGGUGCAUGGUUGUCGUCAGCUCGUGUCGUGAGAUGUUGGGUUAAGUCCCGCAACGAGCGCAACCCCUGUCCUUAGUAGCCAGCGCGUAAAGGUGGGCACUCUGGGGAGACUGCCAGGGAUAACCUGGAGGAAGGCGGGGAUGACGUCAAAUCAUCAUGCCCCUUAUGACUUGGGCUACACACGUGCUACAAUGGCGUAAACAAAGGGAAGCGAAGCCGUGAGGCCUGGCAAAUCUCAAAAAUAACGUCUCAGUUCGGACUGUAGUCUGCAACCCGACUACACGAAGCUGGAAUCGCUAGUAAUCGCAGAUCAGAAUGCUGCGGUGAAUACGUUCCCGGGUCUUGUACACACCGCCCGUCACACCAUGGGAGUUGGUAAUGCCCGAAGUCAGUGACCCAACCGUAAGGAGGGAGCUGCCGAAGGCAGGAUCGAUAACUGGGGUGAAGUCGUAACA
rnacentral:rRNA from 1 species